ACGUCAUUUCCUCCUUUUCCUUUCACCUUUUUCAAGGCUUCGCCCCUAGAGCAGUGGGACUCUGGUAUGGACCGGUUUCCUGUGAGAUCUUGCUCCGUCUCACAAGAUCCUAUGCAGGCCUGUAUCUGGAACAGCUUGUCAUCGAUCUCGCCCUCUAUCGCUCAGCGACCUAGGAGGCCCCAGGACUGCAGUCUGCUUACCUGUUUAAAAAAUUGAUUCUCACCCCUGACCACACCUCUGAGGAUUCGGACCUUCUGGAAGAUGAACAGUUCAUAUUUGACCAAGAUCACAUAAAUAGGAGUUGGGGGAUUGGAACCUACUAUGACCGACUUCAAAUUAAUGCAGUUUGUAGUCACUUAUAUAAUAAUGGUAAAGGCAUUUUUUGCUAUACAGAGUGGGUAAACUCACUGAGGGAAUAAAGCAACAUAUGACACACAUGAGGCAACAUGACAGGGAAGAUCAGCAGAGGAAACAAGUAGCAGAAAAGCAAGGAAAAUUACAUUUCCCAUUUCCAAAGUAAAUUUAAAAAGAAUGAAAAGUAGGGCCAGGGAUUUAGCUCAGUGGUGCCACCGCCUGCCUUGAAAGCCCAUGGUCUUGAGUUCGAUCCCCAGUACAAAAAAAAAUGAAAAAUAAAAGCAAAAAUUGCCUGGGAUUUAGCUCAGCGGUGCCACAUCUGCCUGGCAAGCACAAGGUCCUGAGUUCCAUUCCCAGUACCCCCCAAAAAGCAAAAAUUAAUGAAAUAGCCAAUAAAAUUGAUCAUAAUAAUAUCUGGUAUUUGAAAAGAACAAUAGACACUUUGCAAAUCCAAGGAAGUAGAGAAAAAAUAUUGGAAACAGCUGGGUGUAGUGGCCCACACCUGUAACCCCAGCACUUGUGAGGCUGAGGCAGGAGGAUCACUGUGAGUUCAAGCUCAGCUUGGGCUGGUGAGUUCAAGCCCAGACUGGACUACAUAGUGAGACCCUGUCUCAAACUCCUCCCCCACUUAGAAACAAAGGAAGCAUACUACAUAUGAGGAGACUUAGUAAAUCAAAAAUGAAUUAUGGGGCUGGGGAUUUAGCUCAGUGGUUCCACCGCCUCCUUUGCAAGACCAAGGUUCCGAGUUCAAUCCCUAGUCCAAAAAAAAAAAAAAAAUGAAUUAUGUAGCCUUUACUAAUAAUCUUGAAAAUUGACUUGAAAAAUUUCUAGAAAAAUAUAAAUUUCAAAACUUGGCUCAAGAGUUAGAAAAUCUUGAACUGAUAGACAUGAAAGCAUGUCCUAAAGUAGGGUAUCAUCAAAAGUCACCAGGAACAAAGCAUAAAGAAGGAUAGAGUGUUUCCUAACUCUACCUUUGUCAAAAUUUUAAAUAAACCUGUAAACCUGCAAGUGUCUGGUUGUAAAGGCUUCAAAAUAAUGUGCAAGGCCAGGGAUUUAGCUCAGUGGUUCCUCUGCCUGCCUUGCAAACGCAAGGACCCAAGUUCAAUCCCUGGUACCAACAAAAAGCAAAAUAAUGUGCAGAUAUAUGUAAUAUGAUAGUCAUGAUAACUUUGCAAUUUUUUAAAAUCUUGACUUCAUUAGUAAAAGGAUUGCUAAGUAAGAUUACAUUUACAAUACAAAAUAUUACAUACUGGUAGAAAUACAAUUCUGCAGGCAUUAAUAUGGAAAAAUUAAAAAAGAGUAUAGACAGUGAAAAUUAUACAAGAUACUACAUAUGUGACUUAAUUUUUAACAAUUAUCUUGUAAAAGAAUAAGUUUGGAGAGGAUCUAUACCAAAUUGUUAACUGUUGGUUAUAGAGCGAGAGGAUGUGAAAGAUGUUUUUUAUAUUUGUAUUGUUUAUUUUUUUAUUUUUCUUUAAUUUUUACUAAGUAAAAAUGUAGAAAGAAACAUGUACCAUCAUGCAAAAGAAAGUAUUUUCAAAGAAUAAGGGAUUAGGAAAGAUUAAAAGACUAAAACACA